GGUUGUGGCUCAGAGGGAGAGCACUCGCCUCGCAUGCGUGAGACACUGGGUUCGAUCCUCGGUACCA
rnacentral:tRNA from 1 species